CCACCCACAUUAGCUAUUGGAAGAUACAGUUUUGUAGCCAACAUUGUGACCUGUGUGGUCAAUAGGUUUCUUGCAAAUAUUUAAAAUAUUUAAAAUAAGUGAAAAUAUAUGUAUUUGACAUCACAGAUUUUAAAUGACAACACAGACUUCAAGGUCUGGCUCCACCACUGGGAAGAUAUGCAGUCCUCUGUGGAAGUCACAGAAGGUGUAACAACUCAAGCUAGUGAACUGAGCUUGCUUCUUCUACAUCUUAAUUAUUUCUGUGCUUGCAUUAUUUCCGGUUGCAUCACAUAAAUUAGGACCACACUGUCUAAACUCUAGCACUGUGCAUGUUGCUGCUAUUGCAUCAGAUAAAUCACCACUUUGUUUCUGUUACGAGUCCUGAAGAUGAUGAUGCAUAGUCCAUGUUGAGUUUUGAAUGUUAGGUAGCAUCUGUGUCGAGAUUUAGUAACUUCAGUUGAUCAUGUACUUGUACUUCUUAUGAUAGAUAAUUACUCAUGUGGGGUCCAAUUGCUUGGCAGCUGCAUAAAUCGCCCCUUAGCUUCUGUUACAUGCUGUCUAGUUAUUCAUGUUCUCACGGAAUUGCUUCUGUUACCUGCAACUGCAUUUGCCAUGUGUGUUCUAGCUCCUUUUUUGUCUACUGAUCCAGUGUGUACAAAGAAUAUGCUCAUCCAUGUGACUACUAACUCAUUCUUGCUUAUUUGUCUGGUGACAGCUGUUGUGGUGACAUAAGUGACCCUCCCAAACCAAAAGAGCAUGUGUGAGAGCUUCUUCCCAUGCUCUGACACUUCCAUUUUGGGAUGAGAUUGAUGCUUCUCCUGAUGUGUAUAAGCAUGCCUGUGCUGCUAUUGUGCUGGCUGUGGCCGCCUGCGUCUCACGCGAGGUUGUUGGCUUAGCUGCCCGCGGUUUCGACUACCUCGGCGAGUUCACCACCGCGUAACCAUGACGCUGUGCUCGGCUACAACAUCUCAUACUCUGAGGCUCUCCGAACUGAAGAAGCAGUUGCUCAGUUUUGACUCCCCGCAGCUUCCUGACUUGAACAGUAUGCGUGGAGGAAGAGCAUGCGUGAGAGAUUCUUCCCAUGAUAUGACAAUCUGUUUUAGAACAGGAUCGAUGCUACUCCUGAUGUGUAUAUGCAUGCCUGUGCUGGUGAGCUGGCCAUGGCCGCCCGCACCUUGCGUGAGGUUGUAGGCUUGGCUGGCCCCCUGCUUCAAGUACCUCCUUGGCAAGUUCACCACGAUGCAACCGUGAAACUCGUACGGGUACAACAUCUCCAGUGAGUUAUUGGGACAAGCUGAUUGGAGAUCUGCCCGAAUGAUUGGUGAUCCUUCAACUUUACGUGUCUGCUGCUGCUGCUGCACUAGUUUGGAUGAUGGGUGUAUUUCGUCAAUUGUUGUUGGAGUUGGUUAGGUGUGCUAGCAUGGAGCAUGUAUGUGCAAUGCCUGUUGCUGGCUUGGCCAUUGUUUCCUAGAUUCUGGAAUGCAUUCGCUAUGGAGGUCCUCUGCACCUACGUAUGGAACAUCUUAAAAUGUUUUUUCCCACUGUUUCAACUUGUUUUUUUUUAUCACUGCUGAACUAAAACUUGUUUCUGUGGAAUGUUUGUAAUAAAACAUGUGUUUCUCAUCACCGGAACUUCUUAUACUGUUUUUGCUAAAUGUGUUUAGACAAAUAAAGCACCAAAUUUAUUUUCA